GAUGGUGCCGGACGGUGCGGCAGUUCGGCACUUUGGCAGUGCCGUGGCACGUUCGGCAGUUCGGCACUGCCGCGGCAGUUC
rnacentral:tRNA from 1 species